UACGUAGGGUGCAAGCGUUAAUCGGAAUUACUGGGCGUAAAGCGUGCGCAGGCGGCUUUGCAAGACAGAUGUGAAAUCCCCGGGCUCAACCUGGGAACUGCAUUUGUGACUGCAAGGCUAGAGUACGGCAGAGGGGGAUGGAAUUCCGCGUGUAGCAGUGAAAUGCGUAGAUAUGCGGAGGAACACCGAUGGCGAAGGCAAUCCCCUGGGCCUGUACUGACGCUCAUGCACGAAAGCGUGGGGGGCAAACAGG
rnacentral:rRNA from 1 species